GUGAACGCUGGCGGUAGGCCUAACACAUGCAAGUCGAACGGCAGCACAGUAAGAGCUUGCUCUUACGGGUGGCGAGUGGCGGACGGGUGAGGAAUACAUCGGAAUCUACUUUUUCGUGGGGGAUAACGUAGGGAAACUUACGCUAAUACCGCAUACGACCUACGGGUGAAAGCAGGGGAUCUUCGGACCUUGCGCGAUUGAAUGAGCCGAUGUCGGAUUAGCUAGUUGGCGGGGUAAAGGCCCACCAAGGCGACGAUCCGUAGCGGGUCUGAGAGGAUGAUCAGCCACACUGGAACUGAGGCACGGUCCAGACUCCUACGGGAGGCAGCAGUGGGGAAUAUUGGACAAUGGGCGCAAGCCUGAUCCAGCCAUACCGCGUGGGUGAAGAAGGCCUUCGGGUUGUAAAGCCCUUUUGUUGGGAAAGAAAAGCAGCAGGUUAAUACCCCGCUGUUCUGACGGUACCCAAAGAAUAAGCACCGGCUAACUUCGUG
rnacentral:rRNA from 1 species